AUGGCGCCGCCGCCGGACAGCAAGUCUGAUAAAUCCCCAGAGGAGCUCCUGUGCGCGGCGGCGGAGGCCGGUAACGACGAUGCUAUCGCCGAGCUCAUUUCCUCUGGCGCCGACCCCACCUACUUCGACGCCUCCGGCAUGACGCCGCUCAUGCACGCGGCCACCGGCGGCCACGCCGCUGCCGCGCGGCUCCUGCUCGAUGCCGGCGCGCCCUGGAACGCGCUCUCCCCCGAAGGCCUCUCCGCGGGUGACCUUACAUCCGACCCCGCCACAUACGACCUGCUCCUCGACCACGCCCUCCGCUCCGAGCUCAUCCUCGGCACCGUCGCCCGCCGCCAGGCGGCCCCCGCGAACUCCUCCGACGGCGUCCCCGCCGAGACCUACCUCGACUCGAGGGUUUCGUUCAGCGAGGACCGGGUGAUGGAUGCGGAGAGCAAGGCGGUGAUGAUGGAGUGGGAGCGUCCGCUGAUGGAGGCGCACGCGCGGGCGGUGUGCGCCGCCGGCGGCGGCAAGGUGCUCAACGUGGGGUUCGGGAUGGGGCUCGUGGACCAGGCGAUACAGAGGUACGAGCCCGAGGAGCACACCAUCAUCGAGGCCCACCCGGAGGUGUACGCCCGGAUGCUCAAGCUCGGGUGGGGUGAGAAGAAGAACGUCAGGAUCCUCUUUGGGCGAUGGCAGGAUGUGAUCCCGCAGCUCGGUUCUUAUGACGGUAUAUUCUUCGACACCUACGGGGAGUACUACGAGGACAUGAGGGAGUUCCACGAGCACCUCCCGAAGCUGCUGAAUCCGGGAGGGGUCUACUCCUACUUCAACGGGCUGUGCGGCGACAACGCCUUCUUCCACGUGGUGUACUGCCAGCUGGUGGCGAUGGAGCUGGCGAGCCUCGGGUACUCGACGCAGUUCGUCCCUCUCCCCGUCAGGGACUGCCUCAAGGCGGAGGUGUGGGAGGGGGUGAAGCAGAAGUACUGGCAGCUGGACACCUACCACCUCCCCGUCUGCCAGGCCGAAUCUGAAUCAGAGUAG
rnacentral:rRNA from 1 species